GAUGCACCUGCCGUGGGAUAGAGAGCCAAGCCCAGAGUCUCAGGGCUCCUACGUGGCGAUCCUGGGUCACACUAGGGAGAGCAGCAGACCAGCUCCCGUCAAUAAUAGCUGUCCUGUUCUGAGUACCUACUCUGUGCGAGUUGCUCUAAAAGCUUUUAGGAAUCACUUCGAGGAAUCAUCACAACCUGGGAGGUGGGCACUGUACGGUCCCUAGCAUCCAGACGCUCAAGCUUCAGUGGGGCCCGAGCUGGGAUUCACCACCAGAACAGCCUGCUUCUGAAGCCCUGGGUCUCAGCACAAGCUACUGCCCUCUGGACAGCGGUGGAGUUUUCUCUCUCUGCUCCCAGCCUCCUUCUGUGUCUUCAUUUCCUCCUAAAAGAAGGAGAGGGCUAAUUAUGAUGCCAAGUCGGCCAUGGCGGACCUGAAGUCUACUGGACAUCAGACAGAAGCUUCCUCUUCGGGGCUGGGGGCCCCUCGCCCACAUGGAGAAAGGAGGAGGGAGGAGGGAGGAAGGAAUGUCACCCAACGCCCCUCACUCUCUCCUUAGCUCUUUGGAGGCCAAGUGGCCAGAACCCCUCAGCCAGCACAAGGCCACCUUGGGGACCAGGCUGGCUAGGGACAGGGAGAGAAGGGGGACGGGCCCUGCCAGAUGGGAGGCUUUGGCUCAUGGCCUCUGCCCCAGCUCUGCAGGCCCUGUGACCUGUCCUCCUGGGACCCCCCUGGCCUGUCCAAUUGAGGUGACCCUUCCCCCUUCCCAGCAGAAACCCAGACCUCUGACCCUUAUUCAAAACAAACCAAACAAAAUGUGGAAAGAAAAAAAUCCUCCACAAACAGCCUCAGAGAUGAUCGUGCGUCUGCCCCAACACACACACACACACACCCCCAGCCUUAGCCAUGCAAGGCUGCAGCCAGGCGUUCACAUAAACAAGUUGUUGGAGAGUGCUUUUGUUUAUGAAACAUUUAGGUUUCCCUCAACUUCCUUGAAGGGGAGGGGGUGGACUGUUUCCUAGUUCUCUGUCGACCAGGGAAUGGAGAGGGAGCCCGGAGUUUGGCGGGAUUUCAUUUCUCCCUCGGUGCUUGCUGCCAGGUAGAAUCUGGGGGAGGGUGUGCAAAAAAGACCGGAAAACACAAGGGGGGGGGGUCCCUCACCCCCGCGGGGAGGUCAGCACGUGGGCCUGGCCGGACCGCCCCAGGCCCGGGCUCCCUUCGGAGGCCCGGCUGAGAACACAGUGGGGACGGUGACUGAUGCGCCCCGGCCACCUCCCUCGGCUCCCACCUCCGGCGCCCGGGAAACCAACGAAUCGGCCAGGAACAAAGGCGGGGCUGCCUCCCCAAAGCGGGCGACAGUUUUGCUUUUUUUUUUUUUCUUCCCUCCACACCCCCCCCCCCCCCGACCCUAGCGCGCAGCCUGGCAGGUUUGGGGUCCGGACGGCACCGGGGUUGCGGCGGGUACCGCCGCGACGCCCGCGCGGGGCAGGCCCCGGGGCGCAUGCGCGGGCCGGGGCGCAGGAGGCCGCGGCCGCCCGCGCAGCCUCGCUCGAGCCGGUCUCCGUGGCAACGGGCUCGCGGGGGGGAGGGGCCGGGCGGCGUGGGCUGCGGCGGCUGCUAUUUCUGCCGCUUCCUGUUCCUCGCGGCCACGUCGCCAUGGCAACGGUGUUACUCACCGCGGCCGCUUCCCGGCUCGGCUGGCGCGCGUGACCCCGGCCGCCCGCGCCCCCUCGUCUCUCACUCGCUGCGCUGCCGCUCUCCACCCCCCACCCCACCCCACCCCACCCCGGCGGCGUCCUCCUCCGGCACCCCGGUCCGUCCAGCGCGCCCCGGCGCCCCAUCCUUCCCCUGCUCCCCGCCCCUCUCCGCCGGUGCCCGCGGCUCGGGAGGGAGGGGGGGUGGGGAGGGCGGCAGAUUGAUGGGGGACGCUUAUUAAAAAACAUUGUAACCGUUUCCGUUUUUAUUACGUUGACAAGGGAGCGUUAUUUACUGUUAUUGUUUGCCGAGCUGGCCGCGCCCGAGCGCGGGCGGCCUCCCGGGAGCUCACCUUUCGGGCGGGCCCGGGGAAGUCGCGGGUGGGAGCGGGAGGCGGGGGCUGGCGAGGGCCCCCCCCCACCUCUCCCCGGGCGGACGCGGCCCCCCGGGGGGCCUGCCGCUCGCCCCUUCCCCCCCCCACCCCUCCAGCCAGCCCCGGCCGACCCCCGCCGCGGCGCGUGUGCGUGCGCGCGCGGGGAGAGACUGCAGAGGCCGGGGACUCGUGCUGAAGGAGAGAGGCAACAAAAAAUAAAAAAAGGAACAGAUGACUUCAUUCCCGGGAAGGCUCCGUCCUACGUGGACCAAUUUCCUGGGGACUGUGGUGGAACAGCUCCGCUGCCGUUGGAAGCACUUAAAACUAAACCAGAAAAAAGACCAGAAAAUUCUUCAGCAUUGCCUGAACCCAGCGAGGGCAGACCCUUGCAGGGACAAAACCCGGCAGAGGCUGGUGAAGGAAAGCCAGUGGCUGGACUGGAAGCCUUGGAAUAGGGCGAGGCUCAGCUGGAGGCCCAGUAAGGGAAGAUUAACCCGGCGGGUCUAAGCUCUGGCUGGCCAGGCUCCUGCUCACCCCACUGGAGCCUUCAGCUGGGGGUGGGGGGGUUGUGGAAGGUGCGGGCCGUCUGUCCGUUGGGAUCUGAUGGGCCUGGAGGAUGCCCCCCGCCCGCAAGCCCCUGCUGGGAUGCUAAUCUCAUCCUGCUAAUUAAAGUUUGCAGUUCUGUCCCUAACUCAGCUCCCCACUCUUGAACAGUAUUAGCUGAGUUGCAAACAAUUGCUGGUCCAGACAGAAGCCAGAGGAAAAAGGCCUCUGGAGUUCACGUUCUAAAGAUAAAAAACGGAUUUGAAAAAUGUUUAUACUUAUAAACAAACGACUCCUAAUGAACAGAGCGAGUUUUGGAAACUGAAUUUUCAGAACCCCCCCCCCAUCCCCCUGCCGUCCCAGCCUGUUUUGUGGUGGUUUCCCCCACCACCUCCCCUCCCCGACCCCCGUUCCAAGGACACGAGGCUUGGGAUUUGGUGGAUUUGGUCACUGCAGCCCCUCUUGGUCUCUUGGCCUCAGAUGAUCAACCAGCGCUCCCCCAGGCCCAGGAUCGCCUCUCCAGGCCGUCUGGAGUCUAAAGCGACAAGCCAGUUCCCCACUAAGACCUGUGGGUCUGGGGCGCCACGGCAAGAUAAAGUUCUCUUCAGCUCUGUCCCAGCGUCCACCAGUUUGGAGCUGCAGGAGUCCUCCCUUGAGCGCAUGAAUCAGAAGUCGGGCUCCCAGAAAAGAGAAUACCCCACCCCCAGUCCGUCCCCAGUCCUUUGCUGCCAGCGCUGUGACAGGGGAAGGCAGGACCGCCCUCCACUCCUCCCCAUGGGCUGGCCUUCCAAGCAAAACUCAUCUCUGGGAGCAGGUUUGGAGUUUAGCUGAUGUGAAAGUCCUGCCCCUGGGCAGUGUUUGAAUAGGACUGAAACGACAGAUGACAGCCAGCGCCGUCCAGAACUAGGAGGACGUUGGAGAUGAUGCAGACCAACCACUCCUGCUUCCCUAUCUUACAGGUCUGGAGACCAGGAUUCCAGAAUGAGAUGUCAGCAGGGCCGUGCUCCCUCUGGAGGUGCCAGAGAAGGAACGUUCCAGGCCUCUCGCUGGGCUUCCGGUGCCUCAGGGGGCGGGUUCAGGCUCUGAGCUGUCAGCCCAGAGCCCGACGCGGGGCUCGAACCCACGAACCGUGAGAUCAUGACCUGAGCCGGAAGCCGGACGCUUCACCGACUGGGCCCCCCGGGCGCCCUCCCCAACGGCCUCAUCUUAACCUCGCUCAUGUCUGUUAAAGUCCCUAUCUCCAAAUAAGGUCCCAUUCUCAGGAGCUGUGUGGGGAGCAGCGGCCAGUUCAGAAGACCAGGAAUCUGUUCGUGCAGUGAGGUGCCGGGUGGGAAUGCCCCGCUGGGGGAGCAGGGAGAUACAAAAGAUGAUCCCAGGGGCGCCUGGGAUCGCCCAGGCUGUGGAAGCUGUGAGGCCUCCAGCAGACCCUUUCACGGUUGACCUUGGGUUGGACCGGAUAUUUAGAAUGGGCCCCGUUGCUGACAGUUAUCUUCUGGGGCCGCCUCAGGCCAGGAGGAUGUCCCGGUGAGCGGAGGGCGAAGGGCGAGGAAGGAGGGGCUCAGCUUGGCGCCUCUGCCUCCUCCCUCUCACAGACCUGCUAUGUUUAUUCACAGCCAAGGCCCCGCCUCCCCAACUGCGGAAACCCCCCCUGAGGGCAGGGACCAGGCUUGCAGGGCUGGGGCUGUUUUAAAGAAGAGCCAGCCCCCUCCCUUCCCUCUCUGCCCGGGGCGCAGUGGACAGAAGACAGGUGGGUGGCCCCCUGUUUGAAUGUGAUCUUUCUCCACCAGACCCUUGGUGGCUCCAGGAAGCUGUGUCACAGGCUGGGCAGAAGAGCAGAGUCAGGCUGGCCUGGCCUUUCUUCGGCGAGCCCAUAGCAUAGGCUGAGCAAGCCCCCACCCUAGAAAGCCAGCCGGUCUCUGGCAGAAGACGGGCAGGGCGAGGCCGCUGGUGUUUUCCUUACCCGACACGACGACCCCACCUCCCUUCUCAGCCUCUCUUUCUCUAGCUUUCGGGGGAGCGGGACUGAUCAUGACCGUAGCUCUCGUGCGUUCCCGCGUCCGGUUGUGAUGAUCGGUGAGCGCACGCUCAGGCCAGGUACUCUCCUGCGCGCCCGGAGACAGUGGACAGCAGGACCGGGCUCCCACAUUUGCGCUGCUCACGUUCUAGGGAAGAGAGAGACGAAGAGCAAAGACACAGGCCCAUACCAGGAUCCAGGGAGUACGGCAAGGUAGAGAGGAAAGGAAAGCAGGGUGAGGGGCUGGGCUAGGAAGAACCGAAGGACUGGAGUCACUGAGGUGAGGGGGUGACCGUGGACCUGGUGCAGUGACGGAGUGAGCCCCGGGAGAGGUCCACAGCUGGGGGAAGCAGCAAGUGCAAAGGCCCUGGGGUGGCUCAUCCUGCUGUCCUGAGGUGGGGGAGCAGAGUGCACAGGUCACCUUGAAACCUCACGGCUUUUCUGCAUCCGCCCGAAGUCAAUGGAGGCGGGGAGGGGCGGGCGAGAGCGAGCCAGCCGAGGGCUGCCUUGUGUGCUUAAAGAAUCUCAGAUGGUCGCGGUGGCCUGGUCAGGGACAGCAGCGCCAGGGAGAUAAAAACGGCUGGAUGUAGGGUGUAUGUUGAGAAAAGCCACCAGGAUUUGCCAAAGGAUGGGCCGUGGGUGUGGAAGACAGAAGAAUCAAGGAUGGCUGUGUCAUCAUGAACAGUGGGAGGUACCGUUUCCUGAGCCCAAGGGAGCCGUGGGGGUGUGGUGGGGAAUCAGGCGUUGCCGUCUCUGAAAAGCCCGUUGGAUGCUCCUGUAGUACGCCCUGAGAGCUCUCACUCCCCGGCUUAAUCCACACCAACCCCCAAGAGGCGGAUUCUACUAGCAACCCCAUUUUUCCGAUGAGGAAACUGAGGCCCGGAGAGGGGAAGCAGUCCUCCCAAGGGUGGGAGCUGGUGAGGUCCAGCCAGGGGGCUGAGACGAGGCCGGCUGGUCCAGAGGCAAGGGAAGAGGGGAAGUCAACCCAAGCAGGAGGGGAGGGGCGCUGGCCUCACGGCGCAAGCGGUCCUGGGACUCCAAGCGGGACAUCGAGGAAGCGAUGACUGCUAAAGCUGAAACGUGUGUGUGUGUGUGUGUGUGUGUGCAGACCAUGACCCCAGAGGGAUGGCCCAGACCCAAAAAGGGUGAGGAACACCGUCCCCCGCCCGCCCCAGCACUUCCCCAGUCCUUAAACCCAGGACUGACUCCAUAACUGUGCCGGAAGGUUCCAGACUAUUCCAUUCCCAGGCUGGACUACCUCCGGCCUUCGAGGACCAACCACUCCCAUUUAAACCCUCGGCCCUAGCUGGGCUAAUUAUUCCCAGAUGAUCUCAGUGUUGCCAACACCCCUGAGGGGUUACGGCCAUUCGCCGCCUUUUACAGAAGUGGAAAGCGAGGCGCCACCAGUGGUAGACCAGGACUCCGAGUCAGGACCGACGCCACCCAGCCUAUGUUGGUGCACUGGUGGAGAAACGGGGGCGGUCCCGGCAGGUGCCUUACACGGAGGGCCCCGUUGGGUUCUUACAACAGUCCUCAGGGAGGGCAGCUGCGUUAUCCCCAUGUCACAGGCCAAGAAAGGGAGAGUCCAGGGGGAGGGAGUCAGUUACCCCCAAUUUUGUACAACUAGUGAGCGGGUGAGAUUCGAACUCAGGAUGGUCGGACUCCAGGGCCCAGGCUCCCGUGAACCUAGGAGAACAGGAGAGUUAGGUGAGCGGCAGGCCUCACCACACCCACGUCCCCAUCCCCCAGCGUGCCUAGGUGGCCGCAGGGCACAGAGGAACAGACGCGUCCCUGGCCUCCCUGGUGGUCACCUUGCAGGCCCGAUGGCCAGCCUGGCUUCUGUCUCCUCGCAUCAUUUCACUGUUACGAUCUGUGCUGCCCCAGCCUGGACCUGACUCCCCUGCCCUCGGGGCUGCCCUCGAUUGCGGGUCCCUGCAGUACAGUGACCGCUGGGAGGGCACUCUGGGGAUACGGGCCCUCCAGAAGCUUUGGGCCGCUCAGGGUUGCUCCUUGCCCCAGAGCCUUGGAAAAUGCAGCUGCUGAACCCUGGGACACUACCCAGCCUAGAACCCCACGCAACCCUGGCCUUAGCUUAGGCUGAACCUGGAGG